rnacentral:rRNA from 1 species
AGCGUAGCGAGGCGAACCGGGAGAACUGAAACAUCUAAGUACCCCGAGGAAAAGAAAUCAACCGAGAUUCCCUCAGUAGCGGCGAGCGAACGGGGAUUAGCCCUUAAGCAUCUUGGAAGUUAGUGGAACGGUCCUGGAAAGGCCGGCGAUACAGGGUGAUAGCCCCGUACACGAAAACAACCUUGAUGUGAAAUCGAGUAGGGCGGGACACGUGACAUCCUGUCUGAAUAUGGGGGGACCAUCCUCCAAGGCUAAAUACUCCUGACUGACCGAUAGUGAACCAGUACCGUGAGGGAAAGGCGAAAAGAACCCCUGUGAGGGGAGUGAAAUAGAACCUGAAACCGUGUACGUACAAGCAGUGGGAGCCCUUCGGGGUGACUGCGUACCUUUUGUAUAAUGGGUCAGCGACUUACAUUUUGUAGCGAGGUUAACCGUAUAGGGGAGCCGUAGGGAAACCGAGUCUUAACUGGGCGUCUAGUUGCAAGGUGUAGACCCGAAACCGGGUGAUCUAGCCAUGGGCAGGUUGAAGGUUGAGUAACAUCAACUGGAGGACCGAACCCACUAACGUUGCAAAGUUAGGGGAUGACCUGUGGCUGGGGGUGAAAGGCCAAUCAAACUCGGAGAUAGCUGGUUCUCCCCGAAAGCUAUUUAGGUAGCGCCUCGGACGAAUACUACUGGGGGUAGAGCACUGUUUGGGCUAGGGGGUCAUCCCGACUUACCAACCCCAUGCAAACUCCGAAUACCAGUAAGUAAUAUCCGGGAGACACACGGCGGGUGCUAACGUCCGUCGUGAAGAGGGAAACAACCCAGACCGCCGGCUAAGGUCCCAAAGUUCUGGUUAAGUGGGAAACGAUGUGGGAAGGCUCAGACAGCUAGGAUGUUGGCUUAGAAGCAGCCAUCAUUUAAAGAAAGCGUAAUAGCUCACUAGUCGAGUCGGCCUGCGCGGAAGAUGUAACGGGGCUCAAACCAGGCACCGAAGCCGCGGAUUCACGCUAAGCGUGAGUGGUAGGGGAGCGU